rnacentral:rRNA from 1 species
GAGUUUGAUCCUGGCUCAGAACGAACGCUGGCGGCAGGCCUAACACAUGCAAGUCGAGCGCACCCUUCGGGGCGAGCGGCGGACGGGUUAGUAACGCGUGGGAAUGUACCCUUUUCUACGGAAUAGCCAUUGGAAACGAUGAGUAAUACCGUAUAUGCCCUUUGGGGGAAAGAUUUAUCGGAGAAGGAUCAGCCCGCGUUAGAUUAGAUAGUUGGUGGGGUAAUGGCCUACCAAGUCUACGAUCUAUAGCUGGUUUUAGAGGAUGAUCAGCAACACUGGGACUGAGACACGGCCCAGACUCCUACGGGAGGCAGCAGUGGGGAAUCUUAGACAAUGGGGGCAACCCUGAUCUAGCCAUGCCGCGUGUGUGAUGAAGGCCCUAGGGUCGUAAAGCACUUUCGCCAGAGAUGAUAAUGACAGUAUCUGGUAAAGAAACCCCGGCUAACUCCGUGCCAGCAGCCGCGGUAAUACGGAGGGGGUUAGCGUUGUUCGGAAUUACUGGGCGUAAAGCGCACGUAGGCGGAUUAGUAAGUUAGAGGUGAAAUCCCAGGGCUCAACCCUGGAACUGCCUUUAAUACUGCUAGUCUUGAGUUCGAGAGAGGUAAGUGGAAUUCCGAGUGUAGAGGUGAAAUUCGUAGAUAUUCGGAGGAACACCAGUGGCGAAGGCGGCUUACUGGCUCGAUACUGACGCUGAGGUGCGAAAGCGUGGGUAGCGAACAGGAUUAGAUACCCUGGUAGUCCACGCCGUAAACGAUGACAACUAGCUGUUGGGAGACUAUGUCUUUCAGUGGCGCAGCUAACGCUUUAAGUUGUCCGCCUGGGGAGUACGGCCGCAAGGCUAAAACUCAAAUGAAUUGACGGGGACCCGCACAAGCGGUGGAGCAUGUGGUUUAAUUCGAUGCAACGCGAAAAACCUUACCUACUCUUGACAUACUUGGAGGCUCUUGUAAUGAGAGUGUGCCUUUUGGAACCAAGAUACAGGUGCUGCAUGGCUGUCGUCAGCUCGUGUCGUGAGAUGUUCCGUUAAGUCGGAUAACGAGCGCAACCCUUACCCUUAUUUGCCAGCGAUUCGGUCGGGAACUAUAAGGGGACUGCCGGUGAUAAACCGGAGGAAGGUGAGGACGACGUCAAGUCAUCAUGGCCCUUACGAGUAGGGCUACACACGUGCUACAAUGGGAGAUACAGACGGACGCUAAGCCGCGAGGUGGUGCUAAUCCUAAAAAGUCUUUCGUAGUCCGGAUUGGAGUCUGCAACUCGACUCCAUGAAGUCGGAAUCGCUAGUAAUCGCGGAUCAGCAUGCCGCGGUGAAUACGUUCUCGGGUCUUGUACACACCGCCCGUCACACCAUGGAAGUGGAUUGCACCAGAAGUAGAUAGUCUAACCUUAGGGAGGGCGUUUACCACGGUGUGCUUCAUGACUGGGGUGAAGUCGUAACAAGGUAACC